rnacentral:rRNA from 1 species
GAUGAACGCUAGCGGCAGGCUUAACACAUGCAAGUCGAGGGGUAUGCUUCUUCGGAAGCAGAGACCGGCGCACGGGUGCGUAACGCGUAUGCAAUCUACCUUUUACAGAGGGAGUAGCCCAGAGAAAUUUGGUAUUAAUACCUCAUAGUAUUAUAGAAUGGCAUCAUUUUAUUAAUUAAAGUACACAACGGUAAAGAAUGAGCAUGCGUCCCAUUAGCUAGUUU